GUACUCACUCCAGCAACACAGAUAUUAAAAUUGUAACUGUUCAAAGAAGGUUAGUAAGGACCCUGAGCAAAGGCAAGUCACCAAUUUUCUAUUAGCAUUGCUGAGUUUU
rnacentral:snRNA from 14 species